ACCGUGGUAAUUCUAGAGCUAAUACAUGCUUAAACGCCCGACUUUAUGGAAGGGUGGUAUUUAUUAGACUGAAGCCAAUAUUCCUUGUGUCUAUUGCGGUGAUUCAUAAUAACUGAUCGAAUCUCUUUUUGAGAUAAAUCAUUCAAGUUUCUGCCCUAUCAGCUUUCGAUGGUAGUGUAUUGGACUACCAUGGCAGUAACGGGUAACGAAGAAUUAGGGUUCGAUUUCGGAGAGGGAGCAUGAGAAACGGCUACCACAUCUAAGGAAGGCAGCAGGCGCGUAAAUUACCCAAUCCUGACUCAGGGAGGUAGUGACAAGAAAUAGCAAACCGGGAACCUCAUGGUUUCACGGUAUUGCAAUGAGAACAAUUUAAAACCCUUAGCGAGAAUCAAGUGGAGGACAAGUCUGGUGCCAGCACCCGCGGUAAUUCCAGCUCCACUGGCGUAUAUUAAAGUUGUUGCAGUUAAAAAGCUCGUAGUUGAACCUCUGUCUGGGGCUAGUUUUGGCUUUGGUCAGGCUAGUUCUAGGCAUCCGCCUACAAGACUUAGAGGGCAUUCAGUUGUUCACUAGGAGGAGUAGGCAUUUUUACUUUGAAAAAAUUAGAGUGUUUAAGGCAGGCAAUCGCCCGCAUAUAUUAGCAUGGAAUAAUAGAAUAGGACACUUUUCCAUUUCGUUGGUUAUUGGAAUCGUGUAAUGAUUAAUAGGGACAGUUGUGGGCAUUUGUAUUUAAUUGUCAGAGGUGAAAUUCUUGGAUUUAUUAAAGACAAACUAAUGUGAAAGUAUUUGCCAAGGAUGUUUUCAUUAAUCAAGAACGAAAGCUAGGGGAUCAAAGACGAUCAGAUACCGUCCUAGUCUUAACUAUAAACUAUUCCGACUCAAUGUUUGACUGGCUUAUAUAACCAGUUGAGCGUUGUAUGAGAAAUCAAAGUCUUUAGGUUCUGGGGGGAGUAUGGUUGCAAAGCUGAAACUUAAAGGAAUUGACGGAAGAGCACAACCAGGAGUGGAUUCUGCGGCUUAAUUUGACUCAACACGGGGAAACUUACCAGGUUAAAACAAUAGUGGGAUUGACAGUUUGAGAGCGCUUUCUUGAUUGGUUGGGUGGUGGUGCAUGGCCGUUCUUAGUUGGUGGAGUGAUUUGUCUGCUUAAUUGCGUUAACGAACGAGACCUUAACCUGCUUACUAGACUGGCGAUCAUCAAUCGUUAGCUCUUCUUAGAGGGACUUUGGUUGUUUUAACUCCAAGGAAGUUUGAGGCAAUAACAGGUCUGUGAUGCCCUUAGAUAUCCUGGGCCGCACGCGUCA
rnacentral:rRNA from 1 species